rnacentral:rRNA from 1 species
CCUACGGGUGGCAGCAGUGAGGAAUAUUGGUCAAUGGACGAGAGUCUGAACCAGCCAAGUAGCGUGAAGGAUGACUGCCCUAUGGGUUGUAAACUUCUUUUAUAUGGGAAUAAAAUGUUCCACGUGUGGGAUUUUGUAUGUACCAUAUGCAUAAGGAUCGGCUAACUCCGUGCCAGCAGCCGCGGUAAUACGGAGGAUCCGAGCGUUAUCCGGCUUUAUUGGGUUUAAAGGGAGCGUAGGUGGAUUGUUAAGUCAGUUGUGAAAGUUUGCGGCUCAACCGUAAAAUUGCAGUUGAAACUGGCAGUCUGGAGUACAGUAGAGGUGGGCGGAAUUCGUGGUGUAGCGGUGAAAUGCUUAGAUAUCACGAAGAACUCCGAUUGCGAAGGCAGCUCACUGGACUGCAACUGACACUGAGGCUCGAAAGUGUGGGUAUCAAACAGGAUUAGAUACCCGAGUAGUC